rnacentral:tRNA from 1 species
GCCUUCGUGUUGUAGUGGUCAGCACACUGAGCCGGUAUUUCAGAGGUCCGUGGUUCGAUUCCCGGCGAAGGCC